rnacentral:rRNA from 1 species
GAUCCAGCAAUACCGAGUGAGUGAUGAAGGCCCUAGGGUUGUAAAGCUCUUUUAGCAAGGAAGAUAAUGACGUUACUUGCAGAAAAAGCCCCGGCUAACUCCGUGCCAGCAGCCGCGGUAAGACGGAGGGGGCUAGCGUUGUUCGGAAUUACUG